CACGCCCUAAACGAUGUCAACUGGUUGUUGGGGAUUUAUUUUCUCAGUAACGAAGCUAACGCGUGAAGUUGACCGCCUGGGGAGUACGGCCGCAAGGUUAAAACUCAAAGGAAUUGACGGGGACCCGCACAAGCGGUGGAUGAUGUUCUUUAAUUCGAUGCAACGCGAAAAACCUUACCCACCUUUGACAUGUACGGAAUCCUUUAGAGAUAGAGGAGUGCUCGAAAGAGAGCCAUAACACAGGUGC
rnacentral:rRNA from 1 species